GAUGAACGCUGGCGGCGUGCCUAAUACAUGCAAGUCGAACGCUGGAGAUCUAGCUUGCUAGAUCGAAGGAGUGGCGAACGGGUGAGUAAUACAUAAGCAACCUACCCACGAAGACUGGGAUAAUCUCUGGAAACGGGGACUAAUACCGGAUAGGUAAUCGGAAGGCAUCUUCUGGUUAUUAAAGGUUAAAAACACUGGUGGAUGGGGUUAUGGCGCAUUAGUUAGUUGGUGAGGUAACGGCCCACCAAGACGAUGAUGCGUAGCCGGCCUGAGAGGGUGAACGGCCACAUUGGGACUGAGACACGGCCCAGACUCCUACGGGAGGCAGCAGUAGGGAAUUGUCGGCAAUGGGGGCAACCCUGACCGAGCAACGCCGCGUGAGUGAAGACGGCCUUCGGGUUGUAAAGCUCUGUUGUAAGGGAAGAACGGUAGAUAGAGAAUAUCUAAGUGACGGUACCUUACCAGAAAGCCACGGCUAACUACGUG
rnacentral:rRNA from 1 species